UACGAGGGGGGCGAGCGUUUGUUCGGAAUUAUUGGGCGUAAAGAGCUCGUAGGCGGUUUGUCGCGUCUGCCGUGAAAGUCCGGGGCUCAACUCCGGAUCUGCGGUGGGUACGGGCAGACUAGAGUGCAGUAGGGGAGACUGGAAUUCCUGGUGUAGCGGUGAAAUGCGCAGAUAUCAGGAGGAACACCGGUGGCGAAGGCGGGUCUCUGGGCCGUAACUGACGCUGAGGAGCGAAAGCAUGGGGAGCGAACAGG
rnacentral:rRNA from 1 species